UGGUUUCUAUAGAACAUGGUGCA
rnacentral:snRNA from 1 species